AAGGUGGGGAUGACGUCAAAUCAUCAUGCCCCUUAUGACCUGGGCUACACACGUGCUACAAUGGGCGGUACAAAGGGUCGCGAACCCGCGAGGGGGAGCCAAUCCCAAAAAAGCCGCUCUCAGUUCGGAUUGCAGGCUGCAACUCGCCUGCAUGAAGCCGGAAUCGCUAGUAAUCGCGGAUCAGCAUGCCGCGGUGAAUACGUUCCCGGGCCUU
rnacentral:rRNA from 1 species